GUGGGGAAUCUUGCGCAAUGGGCGAAAGCCUGACGCAGCCAUGCCGCGUGAAUGAUGAAGGUCUUAGGAUUGUAAAAUUCUUUCACCGGGGACGAUAAUGACGGUACCCGGAGAAGAAGCCCCGGCUAACUUCGUGCCAGCAGCCGCGGUAAUACGAAGGGGGCUAGCGUUGUUCGGAAUUACUGGGCGUAAAGCGCACGUAGGCGGGUAUUUAAGUCAGGGGUGAAAUCCCGGAGCUCAACUCUGGAACUGCCCUUGAUACUGGCGAUCUUUAGUGUGAGAGAGGUAUGUGGAACUCCGAGUGUAGAGGUGAAAUUCGUAGAUAUUCGGAAGAACACCAGUGGCGAAGGCGACAUACUGGCUCAUUACUGACGCUGAGGCGCGAAAGCGUGGGGAGCAAACAGGAUUAGAAACCCUGGUAGUCC
rnacentral:rRNA from 1 species